rnacentral:rRNA from 1 species
UACGUAGGGUGCGAGCGUUAAUCGGAAUUACUGGGCGUAAAGCGUGCGCAGGCGGUUUUGUAAGCCAGAUGUGAAAUCCCCGGGCUUAACCUGGGAAUGGCAUUUGGGACUGCAAGGCUCGAGUGCGGCAGAGGAGACUGGAAUUCCUGGUGUAGCAGUGAAAUGCGUAGAUAUCAGGAGGAACACCGGUGGCGAAGGCGGCUUUCUGGACAGUAACUGACGCUGAGGCGCGAAAGCCGGGGGAGCAAACAGG